rnacentral:rRNA from 1 species
AGAGUUUGAUCUUGGCUCAGGAUGAACGCUGGCGGCGUGCUUAACACAUGCAAGUCGAACGGAAAGGCCUUGUGCUUGCACAGGGUACUCGAGUGGCGAACGGGUGAGUAACACGUGGGUGAUCUGCCCUGCACUGUGGGAUAAGCCUGGGAAACUGGGUCUAAUACCAUAUAGGACCGCAUCUUGGAUGGUGUGGUGGAAAGCUUUUGCGGUGUGGGAUGAGCCUGCGGCCUAUCAGCUUGUUGGUGGGGUAAUGGCCUACCAAGGCGGCGACGGGUAUCCGGCCUGAGAGGGUGUACGGACACAUUGGGACUGAGAUACGGCCCAGACUCCUACGGGAGGCAGCAGUGGGGAAUAUUGCACAAUGGGCGCAAGCCUGAUGCAGCGACGCCGCGUGGGGGAUGAAGGCCUUCGGGUUGUAAACUCCUUUCGCUAUCGACGAAGCCACUUGUGGUGACGGUAGGUAGAUAAGAAGCACCGGCUAACUACGUGCCAGCAGCCGCGGUAAUACGUAGGGUGCAAGCGUUGUCCGGAAUUACUGGGCGUAAAGAGCUCGUAGGUGGUUUGUCGCGUCGUCUGUGAAAUCCCGGGGCUUAACUUCGGGCGUGCAGGCGAUACGGGCAUAACUUGAGUGCUGUAGGGGAGACUGGAAUUCCUGGUGUAGCGGUGAAAUGCGCAGAUAUCAGGAGGAACACCGAUGGCGAAGGCAGGUCUCUGGGCAGUUACUGACGCUGAGGAGCGAAAGCAUGGGUAGCGAACAGGAUUAGAUACCCUGGUAGUCC